rnacentral:rRNA from 1 species
UACGUAGGGGGCAAGCGUUGUCCGGAUUUAUUGGGCGUAAAGAGCGUGUAGGCGGCCAGGUAGGUCAGCUGUGAAAACUCGAGGCUUAACCUCGAGACGCCGGCUGAAACCCUCUGGCUAGAGUCCGGAAGAGGAGAGUGGAAUUCCUGGUGUAGCGGUGAAAUGCGCAGAUAUCAGGAGGAACACCAAUGGCGAAGGCAGCUCGCUGGGACGUGACUGACGCUGAGACGCGAAAGCGUGGGGAGCAAACAGG